GGUCUCAUCGUCUAACGGCUAGGACACAAGAUUUUCAUUCUUGCAAUUGGAGUUCGAUUCUCCAUGAGACUAC
rnacentral:tRNA from 1 species